GGAAGAGUGGCAGAGUGGUCGAAUGUACCUGACUCGAAAUCAGGCGUACCGCAAGGUACCGAGGGUUCGAAUCCCUCCUCUUCCUCCA
rnacentral:tRNA from 1 species